CACGUAGGGUCCGAGCGUUGUCCGGAAUUACUGGGCGUAAAGCGCGCGCAGGCAGUUAGUCGCAUCGGCGGUGAAAGCCCCCCGCUUAACGGGGGAGGGUCCGUCGAGAUGGACUGACUGGAGGCAGGGAGAGGGCGGUGGAAUUCCGGGUGUAGUGGUGAAAUGCGUAGAGAUCCGGAGGAACACCAGUGGCGAAGGCGGCCGCCUGGACCUGACCUGACGCUGAGGCGCGAAGGCGCGGGGAGCGAACGGG
rnacentral:rRNA from 1 species